rnacentral:rRNA from 1 species
UACGUAGGGGGCUAGCGUUGUCCGGAUUUAUUGGGCGUAAAGAGCGUGUAGGCGGCCAGGUAGGUCUGCUGUGAAAACUCGAGGCUCAACCUCGAGACGUCGGCGGAAACCAUCUGGCUAGAGUCCGGAAGAGGAGAGUGGAAUUCCUGGUGUAGCGGUGAAAUGCGCAGAUAUCAGGAAGAACACCCGUGGCGAAGGCGGCUCUCUGGAACGCAACUGACGCUGAGGAGCGAAAGCAUGGGGAGCGAACAGG